CGCUACAUGACGGUUUCAGUGAGUCUGGAAUCCUGGCCCGAAGGGGUUGGGCAAACUGUUUAAUAACCGUCGUGUCAGGAAUCGGGGCUUGUAAUUGUUCCCCGUGAACGAGGAAUUCCUGGUAAGUGCAAGUCAUAAGCUUGCGCUGAUUACGUCCCUGCCCUUUGUACACACCGCCCGUCGCUACUACCGAUUGAAUGGUUUAGCAAGGUCAUCGGAUUGGGGUCACUGUGGUUGCUUGUCAGCCUUGUUGACACUGAAAAGACGACCGAGCUUGAUCAUUUAGAGGAAGUAAAAGUCGUAACAAGGUUUCCGUAGGUGAACCUGCGGAAGGAUCAU
rnacentral:rRNA from 1 species